rnacentral:rRNA from 1 species
AUUGAAUGCUGGCGGCAUGCUUUACACAUGCCAGUCGAACGGUAACAGGCCGCAAGGUGCUGACGAGUGGCGAACGGGUGAGUAAUGCAUCGGAACGUGCCCAGUCGUGGGGGAUAACUACUCGAAAGAGUAGCUAAUACCGCAUACGAUCUAUGGAUGAAAGCGGGGGACCGUAAGGCCUCGCGCGAUUGGAGCGGCCGAUGUCAGAUUAGGUAGUUGGUGGGGUAAAGGCUCACCAAGCCAACGAUCUGUAGCUGGUCUGAGAGGACGACCAGCCACACUGGGACUGAGACACGGCCCAGACUCCUACGGGAGGCAGCAGUGGGGAAUUUUGGACAAUGGGCGCAAGCCUGAUCCAGCAAUGCCGCGUGCAGGAAGAAGGCCUUCGGGUUGUAAACUGCUUUUGUACGGAACGAAACGGCUCUGGUUAAUACCCGGGGCUAAUGACGGUACCGUAAGAAUAAGCACCGGCUAACUACGUG